rnacentral:tRNA from 1 species
GGCCUCGUAGCUCAGCUGGUAGAGCCUGCGCUGUACCAAAGCGUAGGCGGCGUCUGUGCGUGGGUUCGAAUCCCCUUGAGGCUA